GCAUCUUCCUGCUACCUUGCAUGCAUAGGUGCACACUUAACACUUAACACAUCCCCAUGCACUCAAAAGGGAAUGGUUAUGCAUGGGCACACAAAAGCAUAACAUCAUGCAGGUGCUUUCAGAAGGGUUUACCUUAAUAAUAAUUAAUGCAUACUUAUUAAAAUCACUUUCACAUGGGUAAAAUAACACUUAAAACACAAUAACAC
rnacentral:lncRNA from 1 species